GGAUGUCAUUGUCUAGCACCGGACAGAAUGAAAUACUCUUCGCUUCGAUGGCUGGUUGUUGCAAGGAAUCUUUUUAUUCUUUGAACCGCGUCUUGGGAGUGGAAGUUCCAGUUCCUGGAGUCGAUUUUUUAUAGUUUGAAUCACGUCUUGGGCAAGGUCCUUUUAAUAUACUCGGUGUAUAUUUAAAGGACCUUGGUCUUGGGAGUAGAAGUUCCAGUUCCUGGUUCAUGGAGUUAGCGCCGAGGACGAGAACUGCUCUGAAUCCUGCAGAGAGCAGCACCGAGGAGUGAUCUGUUCUGGAGUCCUUGCAGACACAGGACGAGAACUGCUUUCAAUCAAUCCUUCUGGAGUGCAACACCGAUAACGAGAACCGUUCUGAACCAUGAAUGCAGCACCGUGGACAAGUACUGUUUUCAAUCUACCAAGACUGCAGCACCGAGGAUGAGAACUGAUCUGAGAAGAGGGAAGCUCAACUCCG